rnacentral:tRNA from 1 species
GGAGAUGUGGUAGAGUGGUCUAAUACGCUACCCUGCUAAGGUAGAGCCUGACGUAAGUUGGGCCGUGAGUUCGAAUCUCACCGUCUCCGCCA